GUGCAAACUCGAUCACUAGCUCUGCAUGAUGUGGCAGAAGCGAAGGGAACCAGGUUUGCGAAAGUAACUGUGGUGAUAGAAAUGUGUCGGCUUCAGACGCUACUGAUGCGGCCCUUUCUAUCCUAGUACAGUC
rnacentral:snoRNA from 1 species